rnacentral:rRNA from 1 species
GGCUGACUACUGGAUGGGAGCCUGAGUGAGACGGAGGGUGCGAGCGGUGGUCGGAAUUAGUGGGCGGAAAGAGGUGGUAGGCGGUUUGUCGAGUCUGCUGGGAGAAGCGGGGGCGGAACCCCGGACUGGCAGUGGGUACGGGCAGACUAGAGUGUGGUAGGGGAGACUGGAAUGCCUGGUGUAGCGGUGAAAUGCGCAGAUAUCAGGAGGAACACCGAUGGCGAAGGCAGGUCGCUGGGCCACUACUGACGCUGAGAAGCGAAAGCGUGGGGAGCGAACAGGAUUAGAUACCCGGGUAGC